CAAAACCCCUCUUUAACCAAAUGACUCCAAAACUGAAACCCUAGAUUCUUCUUCAUCUUCUCUCUGUCUCUUCUCUAAAUUUUUAAAAGCUUAGCUCACAGAAUCCCUCCAAAAUAUGUAUUGGUAUUGAUAAUGAGAAUUACUCGAUCCUAACAAUUCUGUUGUCUCCGAUGGAUGAAGAUAUAAUAGUGUGUGAGAUACUAAGCAGACUCCCUGUGAAGUCACUCAUGCGGUUCAAAUCUGUAUGUAAACAUUGGUGUUACUUAAUCAAACGAGAUCCAUAUUUCAUUGAUUUACACUUUUCUCGAUCUAAAUCACAUCAAUGUCUUUUCAUCGUUGAGUUACAACAAAGUAUUGGAGGAGUUGGAGGUGACAUUAUUUGCAGAGGACGUCGAGCGCAAUUCGUGGCAGCUGAGUUGUCGCCGGGGGAACGAGGACGAGGUACAGUAACAUCAACAAUUCAUACUAUGAGUAAAACUGAUUUGUUUAGUUACAGUACUAUUGUUGGAAUCGUAAACGGAUUGAUCUGUUUUGUUGAUCGUAACAAACAUGCUGUUUGCAUAUACAAUAUUAGCACGAGAGAUCAAAUUACACCUUGGAUUAAAUCAACUUUGUCGAUGGAAGAGAAAUUAAUUGGUUUAGUUAGUGGUUCUUGUGUUUAUAAAUUUGGUUUCGAUCCGGUCAGUAAGGAUUAUAAAGUGAUAGGCAAGUGGAAAAUUUUGGAUGAAUUUGAAAUUUGGGGGGUCUUGACUGUUGGAGAAAAUACAUGGAGAAAGAUUGAUGAGGCACCGCCUUGUUAUAUUGGACCAAGUGCACCUUCUGUUUAUGUGAAUGGUUUUAUCUAUUGGUUCCCAAAUAGGUAUACUGGUGGUGAUGGAUUUAUAGUGGCAUUUGAAGUUGGAUGUGAAAAGUUCAGAACGAUUCAAGUCCCUACUUUCAUCCUUCGUCAGCGCUCGGAUUAUGAUGGUGAUAAAGUUAAUGUUCGUCUGUUAGAAGUGAAUGGGAGUGUCGCUAUAUUACGUAGAAUGACUGUUUGUGAUAUCAAGUUGUCGAUAUAUGGACACAUUGACAAAGAGAGUAGUACAGCUACCGAUAUAAAUUCUGGUGAUAAGAAUUGGACUGAAAAUAAAAUCACAUUGCCUGCAGUUUGUUGGGAUCGAAAUCGAUUUCUUUGUUGUGAUCCAAUCAGCGGGACAGACCAAAUAAUCUUCGAAAUCCACCAAAAGAACUCGGAUGCACUUCCAGAUUCGGUGUAUUUAUAUUCUUAUGAAUUGAAGUAAGAAUUUCAAGCCGAUUAAAAUCAGUGGGAUCCCAUCGUCAGUUCCUAUUGAUGACACCAAAACUAAACUCUGUAGAUCAUUCAGUGAAAGCCUUUAUUCCUUUUCAGCCGCAGAAAAGAAGCAAGGCCUUUGAAGUCUGUCAUAGUUAUGGAGUGUUAUUUCUUACUUCCCAAGAAGCAUAUUACCUUAUUGUGCUGUGAUGGAGCCUCUAGAUGUAACCCAAUCUUGCAGGGUACGGUUUAUUGUUAGGAACCAUUUGGAACAUUUUGAAGGUGCUGAAUCUGGGAGGUCCUGGGGUAGCUACCAACUAUAUUGCUGAAAUUGUGAUGGGCAGUCACUCAUCAGAGGUGGAGAAUCAUUAUUCAUUCUGAUUUAAAGGCUAUUCUCUAUGCUUUCAUGGUAAGGAAACUUCCUUGGAUGUUUUGGUCUAGGUAGCACAAGGUUUGUUCCUGUCUGCAUUCUAUUCACUUUAAACAUGCUUUUCGUGAGCUUCUUGGCAGAUUACCUUUUGCAUUACAAUUCAAGGCCUGGCUUUUAACAAUGGCUUGAAUACCCUUUUUUUUAAAGCAACUUGAAUAUCCUGACAUCCCCUAUAUCAGAUUUUGUUGAUUUGUAGUGGCUCUUUUCUGGGAUUUUGUGUUUGUUUAGGUUUUUGGUUCUCUGUCGGCCUUAAGGAUCUCAUUGGACUUGUCCAUCUGUUUGUUCCUUUUCUUUUGUAUCAGUUAAUUUAAUAUAACAUGAGCAUCUGUAGUUCUAUGUAACCCGUUUAAGUGGAAUCAACUGUACAGUAUACCUUGCAGAAAAUCAGCAGAUGAAUUGUAGCAAGAAGUACGUGUACAGAGAAAUUGUAAAGCUGCAAGCCUGUCAUCAGUUUUGUAUCUGUAUUCUCUAGUAUGCAAGUUGACGUCUAGACUUCGACAAUUGUCAGGAAUCAUUUGUCUGAACUCUCGGAAGUAGACAUACUCUCUGCGAUUGGAAAACCAGGAAAACUAGUCAUUGCAAGCUAUUCCAGUCUCCUCACUUUGUGGUUAGGUUCCAUAAUGUAUUUUCUGUUGGUCACUCUUCUUUUCCUUCAGCAUGAAUGGUGUCUGUGAAUAACGACCCAUCUACUUGAAUUUUGAACAAGAGAUGAGGAAAAUAAUUGCACUGAUGGCAAGCCAAGCUUCAAGGGUUUGCGAACAAGAGAGUCCUGCCAGCAACUUGAACUAACAUUACAACAUUGUUGGUCUCACUGUCUCGGUACUGAAAGCAGCAGCUGUUAGUGUUGUUGGUAUAAUCCAGCAGUCACAAACCAAUUGUGUGUGCGUAUCAACCCUCAACGUCGGCACAUAAUAUUUUUGAUCACUAUGGAUUAUCAAAUUAAGGUUUAAAUACAGGUCAUAGGAUAAAACACGAUGGAGCCGGCCUUGUAGUAAU